rfam:Solenopsis invicta Si_gnG.contig82496, whole genome shotgun sequence.
AUAUUAUGAUGACAUUAGCCAUGCUAAUACCGAGAAAUCAUAUGAAUUUUACAUAUGGAUUUCGCUGAGUUAAACUUUUAAAAUAACUGAAUCUU